rnacentral:lncRNA from 1 species
CGCCCCCAUGCCCUGGGAUAAUUGCCUGCUGAUUAUGGAUGGGCAAACAUGAGAGUUAAGCCAGGCUGCUCGAUCUCAUCUCCAUCGAAUGCUGUACUCCUCCUGACCUGAGACCUACUCAGGGCAUCAUCCUACAGCAAUAAGAAUCUUACUUUAUGACAUCGCUUCUCAUCCUUCCGAGUCUCCUGUCUCGUGCCCGAUCCACCUCCAUUUGGAGCUCCACCUCACUCUGGGCUCCAUCGGCUCCUGAAGCUCCAUCUCGCACUGGGCUACCUGUCAGGUAAUAAU